UACGAAGGGGGCUAGCGUUGUUCGGAUUAACUGGGCGUAAAGCGCGCGUAGGCGGGUUUUUAAGUCAGGGGUGAAAUCCCAAGGCUCAACCUUGGAGGGUCAUUGGAAACUGGGGGACUUGAGUGCAGAAGAGGAGAGUGGAAUUCCACGUGUAGCGGUGAAAUGCGUAGAGAUGUGGAGGAACACCAGUGGCGAAGGCGACUCUCUGGUCUGUAACUGACGCUGAGGCGCGAAAGCGUGGGGAGCAAACAGG
rnacentral:rRNA from 1 species